UACGGGGGGAGCAAGCGUUGUUCGGAUUUACUGGGCGUAAAGGGCGCGUAGGCGGUCAGCACAAGUCAGUUGUGAAAUCUCCGGGCUUAACUCGGAAAGGUCAACUGAUACUGUGCGACUAGAGUGCAGAAGGGGCAACUGGAAUUCUUGGUGUAGCGGUGAAAUGCGUAGAUAUCAAGAGGAACACCUGCGGCGAAGGCGGGUUGCUGGGCUGACACUGACGCUGAAGCGCGAAAGCGUGGGGAGCAAACAGG
rnacentral:rRNA from 1 species